rnacentral:tRNA from 1 species
GCCGGGAUAGCUCAAUGGUAGAGCAGCUGUUUUGUAAACAGCAGGUUGUGGGUUCAAAUCCCUCUCCCGGCU